AACGAACGCUGGCGGCAUGCCUAACACAUGCAGGUCGAACGAGACCUUCGGGUCUAGUGGCGCACGGGUGCGUAACGCGUGGGAACCUGCCCUUAGGUUCGGAAUAACUCCCCGAAAGGGGUGCUAAUACCGGAUAAUGUCUUCGGACCAAAGAUUUAUCGCCUUUGGAUGGGCCCGCGUUGGAUUAGCUAGUUGGUAGGGUAAAAGCCUACCAAGGCGACGAUCCAUAGCUGGUCUGAGAGGAUGAUCAGCCACACUGGGACUGAGACACGGCCCAGACUCCUACGGGAGGCAGCAGUGGGGAAUAUUGGACAAUGGGCGAAAGCCUGAUCCAGCAGUGCUGCGUGAGUGAUGAAGGCCUUAGGGUUGUAAAGCUCUUUUACCCGGGAUGAUAAUGACAGUACCGGGAGAAUAAGCUCCGGCUAACUCCGUG
rnacentral:rRNA from 1 species